rnacentral:miRNA from 1 species
GAUGUGGAGCGCGCGGUGCACA